AACGAACGCUGGCGGCAUGCCUAACACAUGCAAGUCGAACGAGAUCUUCGGGUCUAGUGGCGCACGGGUGCGUAACGCGUGGGAAUCUGCCCUUUGGUUCGGAAUAACAGUUGGAAACGACUGCUAAUACCGGAUGAUGACGAAAGUCCAAAGAUUUAUCGCCAGAGGAUGAGCCCGCGUAGGAUUAGCUGGUUGGUGUGGUAAAGGCGCACCAAGGCGACGAUCCUUAGCUGGUCUGAGAGGAUGAUCAGCCACACUGGGACUGAGACACGGCCCAGACUCCUACGGGAGGCAGCAGUGGGGAAUAUUGGACAAUGGGCGAAAGCCUGAUCCAGCAAUGCCGCGUGAGUGAUGAAGGCCUUAGGGUUGUAAGGCUCUUUUACCCGGGAUGAUAAUGACAGUACCGGGAGAAUAAGCUCCGGCUAACCCCGUGCCAGCAGCCGCCGUAA
rnacentral:rRNA from 1 species